rfam:Picea glauca, whole genome shotgun sequence.
GGGUGUGAUCAUACCAGUGUUAGUGCACUGGAUCCUAUUAGAACUAUGUAGAUAAGCGUGCUUGGGCUAGAGUAGUACUGGGAUGGGUGACCUCUUGAGAAGUCCCAGUGUUGCACCCU